rfam:Pristionchus pacificus strain PS312 contig6680, whole genome shotgun sequence.
UCUUCAUUUCACUCGGCUCUCUCACCGGUCAGAGUGGCGAGAGAGUGUGUGAAAUGAAGAGA